GUCAAAGGUGACAUUCAAGUUUCUGGUUUGG
rnacentral:piRNA from 1 species